AUUGAACGCUGGCGGCAGGCCUAACACAUGCAAGUCGAACGAGUGGCGGACGGGUGAGUAAUGUCUGGGAAACUGCCUGAUGGAGGGGGAUAACUACUGGAAACGGUAGCUAAUACCGCAUACCAUCGGAUGUGCCCAGAUGGGAUUAGCUAGUAGGUGGGGUAAAGGCUCACCUAGGCGACGAUCCCUAGCUGGUCUGAGAGGAUGACCGGCCAAACUGGAACUGAGACACGGCCCAGACUCUAAGGGUGGGAAGCAGUGGGAAAUAUUGCACAAGGGGCGCAAGCCUGAUGAAGCAAUCCCGCGUAUAUGAAGAAGGCCUUCGGUUUUUAAAGUACUUUCAGCGGGGAGGCGUUACCCGCAGAGGAAGCACCGGCUAACUCCGUGCCAGCAGCCGCGGUAAUAC
rnacentral:rRNA from 1 species